UACAGAGGGUGCGAGCGUUAAUCGGAAUUACUGGGCGUAAAGCGUGCGUAGACGGCUAUCUAAGUCGGGUGUGAAAGCCCCGGGCUCAACCUGGGAAUUGCAUUCGAGACUGAAUAGCUAGGGUGCGGUAGAGGGAAGCGGAAUUUCCGGUGUAGCGGUGAAAUGCGUAGAUAUCGUAAGGAAGACCAGUGGCGAAGGCGGGUCUCUGGACAGUUCCUGACGCUGAGGCACGAAGGUCCAGGGGGAGCAAACGGG
rnacentral:rRNA from 1 species